UACGGAGGGGGCUAGCGUUGUUCGGAAAUACUGGGCGUAAGGCGCACGUAGGCGGCGCAGCAAGUCAGGGGUGAAAUCCCGGGGCUCAACCCCGGAACUGCCUCUGAAACUGCAGUGCUAGAAUCUUGGAGAGGCGAGUGGAAUUCCGAGUGUAGAGGUGAAAUUCGUAGAUAUUCGGAAGAACACCAGUGGCGAAGGCGACUCGCUGGACAAGUAUUGACGCUGAGGCGCGAAAGCGUGGGGAGCAAACAGG
rnacentral:rRNA from 1 species